rnacentral:rRNA from 1 species
GAGUUUGAUCAUGGCUCAGAUUGAACGCUGGCGGCAUGCCUUACACAUGCAAGUCGAACGGCAGCACGGGAGCUUGCUCCUGGUGGCGAGUGGCGAACGGGUGAGUAAUGCAUCGGAACGUAUCCUGGAGUGGGGGAUAACGUAGCGAAAGUUACGCUAAUACUGCAUAUUCUGUGAGCAGGAAAGCGGGGGACCUUCGGGCCUCGCGCUCUUGGAGCGGCCGAUGUCGGAUUAGCUAGUUGGUGAGGUAAAGGCUCACCAAGGCGACGAUCCGUAGCAGGUCUGAGAGGAUGAUCUGCCACACUGGAACUGAGACACGGUCCAGACUCCUACGGGAGGCAGCAGUGGGGAAUUUUGGACAAUGGGGGCAACCCUGAUCCAGCCAUGCCGCGUGAGUG